CACGUAGGGCGCAAGCGUUGUCCGGAAUUAUUGGGCGUAAAGAGCUCGUAGGCGGUCUGUUACGUCUGCUGUGAAAACCCGGGGCUUAACCCUGGGCUUGCAGUGGAUACGGGCAGACUGGAGGUAUGCAGGGGAGAACGGAAUUCCUGGUGUAGCGGUGAAAUGCGCAGAUAUCAGGAGGAACACCGGUGGCGAAGGCGGUUCUCUGGGCAUGUCCUGACGCUGAGGAGCGAAAGUGUGGGGAGCGAACAGG
rnacentral:rRNA from 1 species